GAGGGUAUAGCUCAGUUGUAGAGUGUGUGCCUAGCAUGCACUAGGUCCUGGGUUCAAUUCCCCAGGACCUCUG
rfam:Camelus ferus unplaced genomic scaffold scaffold2097, whole genome shotgun sequence.